GCCGGGACGCUGAGGGUCGUCUUUCGCUGGCGACAUCGUUGUCGCAGACAAAAUUACAACUGGUGGUAGUGAUGCAAGGUGUCAGGAUGUUGAAGAUCGUGAGAAUCGGCGAAAACGGGUUCAGAAGAUUGCAUUGCACUAGCAGGAAACGUGCUGCUAUAUCAGCAUCCACGAGACUUGAAAAAUCAAAGUACUUGAAUGCCGCUGUUGCAGCUGCAGUGAAAUUAGAACAUUCUCAAACACGCACUCGGGAUCAAGAUCAAGUAACAAACGCCGAAGAUGUUUUAUUUGAUAUGUUCAAGAAUGAGGAGACUGGUCUUAUAUCAGUGGGAGAGUUUUUAGCUGCUUUAAGGAUAACCGGCUUACGGAAGAAUGAUCCUCGACUUCAGGAAUUUACGGACAAUCUUAAGAAAGAGCACGUCAAGAAUAGCGAUCGCACUAAAGCUAUAUCACAUGAAACACAGAAGUUAGACAGAGAACAAUUCAGAAGAAUUAUAAAUCCCAAUAUCGUUCUGAUUUCGCGAGCAUUUAGACACCAGUUCAUAAUUCCCGAUUGGUCAGGUUUUACGAAGCAUAUCGAGGAUUUUUAUUGGAAAUGUAAAACAAACACCGAGGGCAAGGUCGCCUCUUAUAUACCGCAGUUAGCCAGAAUGAAUCCAGAAUAUUGGGGAGUAUCUGUGUGCACCAUCGACGGUCAGCGAUUUAGCAUUGGCGAUACCACAAUACCGUUCACCCUUCAAAGUUGCAGCAAACCUUUGACCUAUGCGAUAGCCUUGGACAGGCUGGGUCCAGAAGUGGUGCAUCAAUACGUUGGUCAAGAACCAUCCGGUAGAAAUUUUAAUGAGCUCGUACUCGAUUAUGGCAAGAAGCCACACAAUCCAAUGAUUAACGCUGGCGCAAUAUUGAUCUGCUCACUUUUGAAAACAUUAAUCAAGCCGGAAAUGGGUUUGGCAGAAAAAUUCGAUUUCACGAUGAAUUGUUUCAAGAGAUUGGCCGGUGGUGAGAAUCUUGGUUUUAACAACGCCGUUUUCCUGUCGGAGCGAGAGGCAGCUGACCGAAAUUACGCUUUAGGAUUUUAUAUGAGGGAGCACAAAUGUUAUCCAGAAAAAACGAAUUUGCAGGAAGUUAUGGAUUUUUAUUUUCAGUGCUGCGCCAUGGAAGCAAAUUGCGAGACGAUGGCGGUAAUGGCAGCCACCUUAGCAAACGGAGGUAUUUGUCCAGUUACCGAGGAGAAGGUCCUGAAACCGGAUAGCGUUCGCGAUGUUCUGAGUCUAAUGCACAGUUGCGGCAUGUACGACUAUAGUGGUCAAUUCGCGUUCAAAGUUGGCAUACCGGCGAAAUCCGGUGUAUCAGGAAGUCUUCUCGUGGUAAUUCCAAAUGUCAUGGGAAUUUGCACGUGGUCACCACCUUUGGAUCCACUCGGCAAUUCCUGUCGUGGUGUGCAGUUCUGCGAAGAACUCGUGCGCGAAUUUAACUUUCAUAGGUAUGACAAUUUGAAGCACGCAACGAAUAAGAGAGAUCCUAGACGGCACAAAUACGAAACGAAAGGCCUCUCAAUCGUUAAUCUUCUGUUCAGUGCUGCCAGUGGUGAUGUCACAGCGAUGAGAAGACAUCUAUUGAGUGGGAUGGACAUGACACUGUCAGAUUACGAUGGCAGAACCGCGUUGCAUUUAGCCGCUAGCGAAGGUCAUCUAGAUUGCAUCGAGUUUCUAAUCGAGCAUUGCGGAGUCCCACAUGAUCCUAAGGAUAGAUGGGGUAAACGACCAGUCGACGAAGCUGAAACUUUCAGGCACAUGCAGGUGGUGGAAUAUUUGAACAACUACUCUCUUGUUCGUAAGACCGAGCUAGAGAACAAACAGGACGAGUGUAUCGAUAAUGACAACGAGUCGUGUCGUAAACCACCGGAAACGGCUGUACAAUCGUGAAUAAUAAUAUAAGCGAUGACGAAUUUACACAAAACUGGAGUGAAUCGAGGGUGGGAACAUCAAGGACUUAUGUGAGAGCUAUUGAGUAGAGGAAGACGUGAGACAACGUAUCGAUCGUAAUAAUAGUAAAAUGAGGUCGCAAACAAACCCUACGGACAAUAACGAGGAACAAUAAUUUUCUCAUUUUUUGGAUCUGUGACCUCGUUCUACUUCGCGCGAUACAGUUAUCUCAGCAUUGAGCGGCACGCUCAGUGUCCGAUUAAGAAUUACUGUGAUUAAUAUUACGUCUUUUUUCCAUGAUUUAGUUUUAAAAGAGUAU